AGAGUUUGAUCCUGGCUCAGAUUGAACGCUGGCGGCAUGCCUUACACAUGCAAGUCGAACGGUAACAGGUUAAGCUGACGAGUGGCGAACGGGUGAGUAAUAUAUCGGAACGUGCCCAGUCGUGGGGGAUAACUGCUCGAAAGAGCAGCUAAUACCGCAUACGACCUGAGGGUGAAAGCGGGGGAUCGCAAGACCUCGCGCGAUUGGAGCGGCCGAUAUCAGAUUAGCUAGUUGGCGGGGUAAAAGCCCACCAAGGCAACGAUCUGUAGCUGGUCUGAGAGGACGACCAGCCACACUGGGACUGAGACACGGCCCAGACUCCUACGGGAGGCAGCAGUGGGGAAUUUUGGACAAUGGACGCAAGUCUGAUCCAGCCAUGCCGCGUGCGGGAAGAAGGCCUUCGGGUUGUAAACCGCUUUUGUCAGGGAAGAAAAGGUUCUGGUUAAUACCUGGGAUCCAUGACGGUACCUGAAGAAUAAGCACCGGCUAACUACGUGCCAGCAGCCGCGGUAAUACGUAGGGUGCAAGCGUUAAUCGGAAUUACUGGGCGUAAAGCGUGCGCAGGCGGUUAUGCAAGACAGAUGUGAAAUCCCCGGGCUCAACCUGGGAACUGCAUUUGUGACUGCAUAGCUAGAGUACGGUAGAGGGGGAUGGAAUUCCGCGUGUAGCAGUGAAAUGCGUAGAUAUGCGGAGGAACACCGAUGGCGAAGGCAAUCCCCUGGACCUGUACUGACG
rnacentral:rRNA from 1 species